UUCUUCAACUUCUUUGUCAGGUGAAGGACUUCCUUCUUCAGCCGCUGGAUCGUCGAUUUCAGCGGGACCCCCAGGGGCAGGGGGAGCGCUUCUGCAGGGCACUGCCAUCGGAAGGCAAAAGCGUCAAAACAUGACUCAUUACAGGGAGGAGAACAGAGAGAAGGAGGGGGGAGGAGAAGCCGUCCGCAACAAGAAAUUCAACUUUAUUGAUUGGAUGAUUUUUGAAGACAAAAAGAAAAGAAAAAUUGCGACGAAAUAAAGGUACAAGAUCAGAGGUCUCAGACCUCGGGGGCGG
rnacentral:lncRNA from 1 species